GACGAACGCUGGCGGCGUGCUUAACACAUGCAAGUCGAACGGACAGACAGAGAGCUUGCUCCCUUGAAGUUAGUGGCGAACGGGUGAGUAACGCGUAAUCAACCUGCCCUUCAGAGGGGGAUAACAACGGGAAACCGUUGCUAAUACCGCGUACGAUUCAUGAACGGCAUCGUUUAUGAAUGAAAGGUGGCCUCUAUGUAUAAGCUAUCGCUGAAGGAGGGGAUUGCGUCUGAUUAGCUAGUUGGAGGGGUAACGGCCCACCAAGGCAAUGAUAAGUAGCCGGUCUGAGAGGAUGAACGGCCACAUUGGGACUGAGACACGGCCCAAACUCCUACGGGAGGCAGCAGUGGGGAAUCUUCCGCAAUGGACGAAAGUCUGACGGAGCAACGCCGCGUGAGUGAUGAAGGUCUUCGGAUUGUAAAGCUCUGUUAAUCGGGACGAAAGAGUUCUGCGUGAAUAAUGCAGAAAAGUGACGGUACCGGAAUAGAAAGCCACGGCUAACUACGUGCCAGCCGCCGCAGUAA
rnacentral:rRNA from 1 species